rnacentral:rRNA from 1 species
UACGUAGGGUGCAAGCGUUGUCCGGAAUUAUUGGGCGUAAAGAGCUCGUAGGCGGUCUGUCGCGUCGGCUGUGAAAACCCGGAGCUCAACUCCGGGCCUGCAGUCGAUACGGGCAAACUGGAGUGUUGCAGGGGAGACUGGAAUUCCUGGUGUAGCGGUGAAAUGCGCAGAUAUCGGGAGGAACACCAAUGGCGAAGGCAGCUCGCUGGGACGUUACUGACGCUGAGACGCGAAAGCGUGGGGAGCGAACAGG